CAGAUAAGGUUUCUCACAAAUUGGUCCUGAAAUAAGAAAACAAUUGGUGCAGAAACAUUCAUAAUCUCACCCAAGAAGGAGAGAACUUCUGAAGUCCUUUAUAUUCCCAGCAGCAUUGAGUAUAUUUGUUGUGGGGAAGGAGCAGUAAGUGGCAGUCCAAAGCAUGGCUCCUUUGUCUGCCUAACACAGAGACUCACAAACAUUGGAUUUGUGAGAGGCUGUUUAAAAUUUCAGAAGUGGUUGGGCAAACAAACCUUGAUCUCAAGGACAGCCUGAGAGAGUCUGCUGUAUGCAGCAAACAUGAUAGCUCUUCCAUUCUGUGUAUGCCACCCAACUGCUUUGGCAGUUAAUUCUUUCUUUAGCAGAAUGGCUAUCUGUAUCUCACAACUUGAAGAGGAAAAUCAUUUCAGCAACCAAUGCUUUCACCAAGCCCACCUCUUAAUUUAGUGUUAUUUCCCUCCAAUGGAUGCAUCAAAGUCUCCAGUGAUCCUGCUGCAAUAGAAAGAUGCUGUUGAAAUGCCUUUUGUGGAAAAUAUUUGAUCAAAAUGUGAAGAUCAGGUAAACAGUCUGACUCCUGUAUCCCAGAACCAGGACCCACAGUUUUACUACCCACAUCCAACAAAGUAUCCUAUUUAGGACUUUUUAGAUCUUUUAGGUGAUUCUAUGACAUGCUUCCACAAAGAAUCAAACUAGUGGACCAAGCAAAUAUUAGGUCAUCCAGUGCAACUAUAUGGUAACUACUCGCAAGUGUAAUUUGUUUUGAUAGGACUUGCUAUUAUGCAUGGUAUCUUGUUUAAAUGGUAAGUUCAGGACCAUAUUCCCUAGAGAACAGGCAUCAUACUAUACCAAUCUCUCUCUCUCUGUUAUGGUUGAGCCUUCUGGCUCCGGUACUGGGAGACGGGGUCGUAAGACUCCUCGAGAGUCAGACUCUUUUGAGGAGCGUGAAAGGAAACGGCUCCGGGACUUAUUUGCAGAACCAACAGAUGAAGACUCAUUUGAGGGCUUUACCGAGGGAAUGGAGGAAGAGAUGGUUAGCUCAGAGGAGGAUGACAUGGAGUGGACUCGUGUGAGGGAGGAUUUGGGUGUCACCGGCACUGAUAGCAUGGGAGGCGAUUGGCGGGUUGCAGGAUCAGACCCAUGGACGGGCUGGAGGGAUGGAACGGGAUCCGCAGCUGGGGAUGCUGUGGGGCGUAGUCAAAGGUGUUUUAGCUCUGAUGAGGAUGAUGAUGAUGAGGCACCUGGAAUUAGGAUAGCAGCUGACAGCGAUGAGGAGUUAUGAACUGGAUAAAAUGGGGUUUAUGAUCAAUGGCUAAUUGCGUUGGGCAAGGUAAUCUGGACGAACGCUUGGGCUCUUGUUUGGGAACUUCCUGAAGACGGGUGUGAUUCGUUGCUGGAUACCUUGGACCUCCGUCGUCUUUUUGACGGACAUUAAUUGCCUACUCUGGAUUGACGCUGGACUGACUGACUGACUACGACCUUGGACUAUCCUUUCUGUGGCUAUCGGUGGAACUCGUGGAACCUUAGACGCCUGCACCUGGCUUUCGACCUCGGACCGGACUGGGACCCUGCUGACCGCCGUGAUCCUGAUUGAUGUGCCUGGACCCAGAUUUCGCUCGUUGCACGGAGGAGUAACAGCCUGAGUUACUCAUCUGUAGCUUGUUGGUAGCAGAGAGGAAUCUGCUGCCAGCUUUUGAUGUUCAUUUUGACCUUUGUUUAUCAACUUUUGUUUGUUUAAACUGCCAGGCUGAAGUAAGCACUUUUGAGUUAACCCGGAUUAAACUCCUGUUUAAUCCGGUUUAUUCCUUUGAACCAUUUUAGUUUAAACGGAGCUGUUUCUGUUACUUUUCACACUGAAGACAAGUGUUUGCCUAGUCCUUUGUUUUCUACGGGCAUUUUUGUGUUCUGUAACUUUAAUAAACUGUGUUGUACUCUA